rnacentral:lncRNA from 1 species
UUGAAUUAUUAAUCACCGGGAUUAAAACUAUUUAAUUGUCUUAAUGCCUGAUCACCAUUAGGAUCUUUAAAAAAGUAAUUUGAUGCAAUUUUGGUCGAAAGGUUCCCUGAAAUUGACGUUGGCUUCUUGUGAUUAAUAAUUGUAAUUUCACUUAGGAUGAAUACCACGUCUUAAGGAUUGCAUGGUUUUUCAAAGGAUUUUCAUAAAGCAUAAUGAGUCU